UACAGAGGUCCCAAGCGUUGUUCGGAUUCACUGGGCGUAAAGGGUGCGCAGGUGGCUUGGUAAGUUUGAUGUGAAAGCUCAGGGCUCAACCCUGAAAUGGCAUUGAAUACUAUCGGGCUUGAGGUUUGGAGGGGGACUGGAAUUCUCGGUGUAGCAGUGAAAUGCGUAGAUAUCAAGAGGAACACCAGUGGCGAAGGCGAGUCCCUGGACAACACCUGACACUGAGGCACGAAAGCUAGGGGGCAAACAGGAUUAGAAACCCCUG
rnacentral:rRNA from 1 species